UAAUCUACCUUCGGAUGGGGAAUAACAAUCGGAAACGGUUGCUAAUACCGCAUAAUGCAGCGGCACCUAAUGGUGACAGUUGUUAAAGCGGGGGAUCGAAAGACCUCGCGUCUGAAGAGGAGCCUGCGGCGGAUUAGCUAGUUGGUAGGGUAAUGGCCUACCAAGGCGACGAUCCGUAGCCGGCCUGAGAGGGCGGUCGGCCACACUGACACUGACAUACGGGUCAG
rnacentral:rRNA from 1 species